GACGAACGCUGGCGGCGUGCCUAAUACAUGCAAGUUGAGCGCUGAAGGUUGGUACUUGUACCAACUGGAUGAGCAGCGAACGGGUGAGUAACGCGUGGGGAAUCUGCCUUUGAGCGGGGGACAACAUUUGGAAACGAAUGCUAAUACCGCAUAAAAACUUUAAACACAAGUUUUAAGUUUGAAAGAUGCAAUUGCAUCACUCAAAGAUGAUCCCGCGUUGUAUUAGCUAGUUGGUGAGGUAAAGGCUCACCAAGGCGAUGAUACAUAGCCGACCUGAGAGGGUGAUCGGCCACAUUGGGACUGAGACACGGCCCAAACUCCUACGGGAGGCAGCAGUAGGGAAUCAUCGGCAACGGACGAAAGUCUGACCGAGCAACGCCGCGUGAGUGAAGAAGGUUUUCGGAUCGUAAAACUCUGUUGGUAGAGAAGAACGUUGGUGAGAGUGGAAAGCUCAUCAAGUGACGGUAACUACCCAGAAAGGGACGGCUAACUACGUG
rnacentral:rRNA from 1 species